GGGAUAUGAAUGUGAGUGAAACACAAUCCUUAUAGUUCUGCUCUACAAGAAAUGUUUUUUUUUCCUAUAGGAGUGACUUGAUGACUUCAGUGGGAAUUCCUCAUAAACAAGAAGGGGAAAAGAUCAUCUGGAAUCUUCUGAAGGCAGGAGUCAGGGCCAGAAGUCCCCAGAAAGACCUACGCGAGAAGAGAAUCUCACCCGCUGCCUUGUCUCCAGAGACCCUGUCCUACGCUGAGGUUCAGACAUCUUACGGGCACCGGCUCAACGAACUCCUGCUGGACCCAGUGACCACUGCAGAGCAUCCCGGAGGGGUGCUUUGAAUUUUGUCCAACAACAACAACAGAAGUGGAGAUUUUAAGGACAAAAAGUCACAAAAAUUCCCCUGCACAAUGCCUGGGAGGAGGGAAGGACCCCGUGUACCACUGGGACUGCUCACUUUGCCUUGCUGGCCAGGUACCUCCAGCUGCAGGAGGUGGAAGGGACUGGGUGCAGGACUCCUGGAAUAACAUUUCCUCUGCUCAAAGGGCAGACAGACAGGGAGUAGAUACUCAGUCUGAUACGUGUCCAGGUCGUGUCUAUUUGCACAUAUUAACCGGCUGUAUUUGCUAUGGUUGUUAUUUUAGGUUGGUGCUGUCUUUAUAUAUAUGAAAUGGUCAUUUAUAGCUAAAUGGGAGGCACAACAGUAUCUGUGGGAAUGAGCAGAUCCUGGAUCCUGCCGAGUGACAGCAGCCUAACCAUUUGUAGCCCUGACUCCUGCCACAUGAAGUGCUCUUACCAGCACUCCUGCGCGUCUCACCCUUAUUAUAUAGUGUAUUAGUGGUGGUGGAAUUGGGCCCACAAUAUUAUGUCACAAAAUAGAAAACACCCGACCCUGCACCAGCUGUAAUAGCAUAAUAGGAUAAGUGCGAGGGAGAAACAGCAGGAUAUAAUAGGUACUCAGCUGCUUCAGAGAUGGGGCAUGUAUAUUUACCUAGACAGAAGAAAGCUGGAAAACUAGGGCAACGUAAGAACAGAGUGACAGUGUAAGUGCUGCAGGAGGUGGUUGUGGGGGAAUUGAAAAUGCUGCAAUAUGGGAUGUUAUAUAAUAAAUAAUAACAAUAAUAUCCCUGCUUCA
rnacentral:lncRNA from 1 species